AUUGAACGCUGGCGGAAUGCUUUACACAUGCAAGUCGAACGGCAGCACGGACUUCGGUCUGGUGGCGAGUGGCGAACGGGUGAGUAAUGUAUCGGAACGUGCCCAGUCGUGGGGGAUAAAGUAGUGAAAAUUACGCUAAUACCGCAUACGAACUAUGGAUGCAAGAGGGGUAUCGCAAGACCUCGCGCGAUUGGAGCUGCCGAAAGCAGAUGAGGUAGUUGGUGGGGUAAAGGCCCACCAAGCAAACGAUAUGUAGCUGGUCUGAGAGGAAGACCAGCCACACUGGAACUGAGACACGGUCCAGACUCCUACGGGAGGCAGCAGUGGGGAAUUUUGGACAAUGGGCGAAAGCCUGAUCCAGCCAUUCCGCGUGCAGGAUGAAGGCCCUCGGGUUGUAAACUGCUUUUGUACAGAACGAAAAGGUUUCUACUAAUACUAGGAGCUCAUGACGGUACUGUAAGAAUAAGCACCGGCUAACUACGUGCCAGCCGCCGCCUGUAA
rnacentral:rRNA from 1 species